GCGUCUUAUUUCUCACAUUUCUGCGAAAGUACGUCGUUAUUUACGUGCACCGUUGGGAUAUUAUUCUGUAUUAUUCAAUCGUCGGGGAUUGUAUCAUUCAUGACGACCUGGUAAAUGUAUUUGGUGCGCAGGGAGGCUGAGUGAGCGAUGCUAGCAGCAUGGACACGUCGGGGUCGUAUGACGAGCUGCUGCGACAGGUGGAGAGCCUCACGCUCGAGAACGCUCACCUGCGACGGGAGCUGCGCGACAACUCGCACUGCCUCACAAAGCUCGAGAACGAGGCGUGCAACAUGAAGAACGUGCUCAACUGCCUGUCAACCAGCAUGACCGAUGCUAAAGACGGAGUAAUGAGCACGGAUCUAAAGAAGGGAGAGAGGGAGCAGCCGGAGAAGGCAGAGCAGGAGUCGGAGUGCAGCCAGAAGCUGUGCGGGGAUUCCGCAGCCUCCAUCAUGAGACUAGCUGCUGCUGACGGAGGAGGCGGAGGGAGGGAUGUGUACAGUAGGAUACAGGAGCUGGAUCGAG